CUUCUGUCAAACCUAUACGUUAAAAAACUUUUUAACGCUCUGAACAGCAAUGGAAUCUUUUGGCUUUGCUUUUGUUUUCGAUGUUUUUUUUGUUUGUUUUUAAAUUUUUACAAUAGUAGCAAUUGUCAUUGCGGUAUUAACGUGGCCCACAGAAUCAGCAGAAGUGUGUCGCAUUAAAUGUCCCCAAGGUGAAUCAGUGAACAUAUGUGGAAGAUUUGAUAAUAUUUGUAAACGUUUUGCAAACGAUUGUGGUCUUCAAUUAGCCAAUUGUGUAAAUGAAAAUGCCUAUUCGCAGGUUGAUCUUUCUCAGUGUCGUUAUAUUGAUUUGAAUACUCAUCGAAUUUGUAAUACUGGAAUAUUACCAAUUGGUACUGGUUUUAGACAUUAUGAUACAAUUCUUAAUCGUGCAACUAAAAAACCAUUACCGAGGAUUAUAAGAGUUUAAGAAUGGAAAUAAAAAUAUAAAAAAUGAGAAACCAAUUCUCUAAACAAAACAAGCUAGUUAAGCCUUCAAUUGCCUUAAUAAAGCCUCGAAACAACUAUUAACACAAUUGUUUUUCAAAUGUU